GGGCUUGACAUCCCACGAACCUGCCCGAAAAGGUGGGGUGCCCGCAAGGGAGCGUGGAGACAGGUGGUGCAUGGCUGUCGUCAGCUCGUGUCGUGAGACGUUGGGUUAAGUCCCGCAACGAGCGCAACCCUCACCCCUAGUUGCCACCGGGUUAAGCCGAGCACUCAAGGGGAACUGCCAGCGUCAAGCUGGAGGAAGGCGGGGAUGACGUCAAGUCAUCAUGCCCCUUACGCCCUGGGCUACGCACGUGCUACAAUGGCCAGCACAAAGGGACGCGAGACUGCGAAGUGGAGCUAAUCCCAAAAAGCUGGUCUAAGUUCAGAUUGCAGUCUGCAACUCGACUGCAUGAAGGAGGAAUCGCUAGUAAUCGCGCAUCAGCCCGGCGCGGUGAAUACGUUCCCGGGCCUUGUACACACCGCCCGUCACACCACGAAAGCUGUCUGUACUCGAAGUCGCUGAG
rnacentral:rRNA from 1 species